rnacentral:rRNA from 1 species
AUUGAACGCUGGCGGCAUGCCUUACACAUGCAAUUCGAACGGCAGCACGGGAGUAAUCCUGGUGGCGAGUGGCGAACGGGUGAGUAAUGUAUCGGAACGUGCCCAGUCGUGGGGGAUAACGUAGCGAAAGCUACGCUAAUACCGCAUACGAUCUAUGGAUGAAAGCGGGGGAUCGCAAUACCUCGCGCGAUUGGAGCGGCCGAUAUCAGAUUAGGUAGUUGGUGGGGUCAAGGCUCACCAAGCCGACGAUCUGUAGCUGGUCUGAGAGGACGACCAGCCACACUGGGACUGAGACACGGCCCAGACUCCUACGGGAGGCAGCAGUGGGGAAUUUUGGACAAUGGGCGCAAGCCUGAUCCAGCAAUGCCGCGUGCAGGAUGAAGGCCUUCGGGUUGUAAACUGCUUUUGUACGGAACGAAACGGCGAGCUCUAAUACAGUUUGCUAAUGACGGUACCGUAAGAAUAAGCACCGGCUAACUACGUGCCAGCCGCCGCCGUAA